UCUGGCCUCAAAUCAGGUAGGGCUACCCGCUGAACUUAAGCAUAUCAAUAAGCGGAGGAAAAGAAACUAACUAGGAUUCCCUUAGUAACGGCGAGUGAACCGGGAUGAGCUCAAAUUUAAAAUCUGGCGUCUUUCAGGCGUCCGAGUUGUAAUCUAUAGAGGCGUUUUCCGCGCCGGACCGCGUCCAAGUCUCUUGGAAUAGAGUAUCAAAGAGGGUGACAAUCCCGUACUUGACGCGACAACCGGUGCUCUGUGAUACGUUCUCAAUGAGUCGAGUUGUUUGGGAAUGCAGCUCUAAAUGGGUGGUAAAUUCCAUCUAAGGCUAAAUAUUGGCGAGAGACCGAUAGCGAACAAGUACCGUGAGGGAAAGAUGAAAAGCACUUUGGAAAGAGAGUUAAACAGCACGUGAAAUUGUUAAAAGGGAAACGAUUGAAGUCAGUCGUGUGAAAGGUAUUCAGCCGUCUCUGGCGGUGUAUUUGCCUUUCACGGGUCAACAUCAGUUUGAUCCGGUAGAAAAAGGCAAGAGGAAGGGGCACCCUCCGGUGUGUUAAAGCCCCUUGUCAAAUGUGCCGGACCAAACUGAGGAACCAACUUGCCCAAAGGCCGGGUUCG
rnacentral:rRNA from 1 species